AGAUGGAGAUCACAAGAAUCAACACUGCAAAAACAUUUUAGACGAGGCGAUCAAGCUUACUUUAGAGCGUCGUGUACUUUUUUCGAGUGUGUUCAUCACGUCCCGAGUCGACGAACGUCAUGCAUUCCGUCGAGUACGUCAUCGUAUCUAUACAUGUGAGUACCGGUACUAAAGAGAGCAGAGAGUACCACGACGAAAUAACCGGGAGCAGAAUAUUAAAUCGGAGUGCCUGGACGCCGGACGCAGAUAGCGAUACAUCAUGCACUUUCAGUUGCCCCAAAUCAUACAGGUCUUUGAUUUUAACGAACAGUUGAACACAGAGAAGCUACAGUCGAUAUUUAGGGAAUACUAAUGCUAAAGGAGAUCGCCAGGCUGUUCGUUAAUCUCAAACAUUCUUCGGGAAGCUUAUCUCGCAGAAAUCACGGCGUGAUCUCGCUAAUCUUCGAGUUAGGGUCGCGCGACUUCAGUGUCGCUUAACUGCUCGCGAGUGCCGUUUUGAAAGCCGGAAAUGAAAGAUUUGCUAGACACAAGGGUCCCGGUUCCCAUCGCGCAGGGCUGUGGGCGUCGACGAGUGAGUGUGGCCUGUUCCGGUCGAUGCGUUUAUCUCUCAUAUGCUCGAUCGAUGCAAAUGUGCGGCGCAUUUACGCGAUGAAGUUCAUCACGUAGCUCUUUACAUUGUUGCGCCGACACGCGUCGCGUCGUUACAGUUAUGGUUUAACGCAUGUUAGCCGAAGCGCAACGGGGCUGUUAUAGGAAGAGGGAUUUCUAUUAAGUCGAUAACCUGGGUUAUACAAUUGAACGACAUAUAAAUGUGCAGUUUUAAUGGAACUCGUUCAAUGAAGCAAUAUUAUCAGCUCGAUAAGUCAACGCUUAUUUCGACGUAAAACAACCCAACAUGUUUAUUAGUGGAACGCAAAGCACGACCUGCGGUUUCGACACCUUCGAUCGAGCCGAUAGAACUCACUACAGAGCGACGCAGCACUGUCGGCUCCCGAAUUAUUCGAGUGAUUCGCGAAGGCGCAGAUCGUAGUUGCGCAAAUAGUUCCGGGAAAAUAAUUUCGGGACAACAAUGAAACGCUGGAGGAAUUCUGCGGUUCGUCGGUGUCGGCAAGUUUAGGGCGUGAAGUACACACGUGGUGGAUCCGCAGUGUGUGGCCCGCCGAAAACAGGAGUCUGCAAUUAUGCGACCGCGCGCUGAGGCCCGAGACGCAUCAACGAAGAGGAAUACUGGCUGGCCUGGCGGUGGUCGGCACGGUUGGUGAACGUCAAGUCGUUGUGUCGUCGUCGUCUGCGCCGAAACGGACCCGAGUCAUUAGGAAACCUCGCAGGAAAACGCGCAUACAAUGUGAAUAUACGACGCGAUGCACCAAGGAGUCUCUCCCGCGAGUUUGGUAUUAUUUUUACUGCCGAAUGACUCUUGUUUUAGCAAGUCAGAGGCUAUAACCUGCCAGCAAGUCUUUCUGCUUCUUUUAAUCCUCAUUUUGAACAAUUAAUCGAUUUUUAAGAAUUAUAAUUAGACCGAUUUUAUUUAUAUGAUAAUCAAGUUUUUACAUACAAAGAAAUAACAUAAUAAUAUCAGCAAUAUCUCAGUGACUAAUCUAAAUUUAGCUAAAAGGCUAAUUAUUCUGCUGUCAUUGCUAAGGACUAUCGCAGUUAAAAUGUAUUUUCUGUAAAAUAUGAAAUUAUUAAUUCGAAUUAAAAGCGCAUAUUUGUUUGUCAAAUAGUCAAGGAAAAGUGGCAGCUAUUUCGGCUCUAUAAGGAAUUAAUUUUACAGUUUGUCCCGCGUAUUACGCGCAUUAAUCCACCAAAAUUUUUUUCCUUUCAUUAAUAUUUUAAUAAUUACCAUGGCAGAAUUUCUAUACAAAAUAGCACAGGAUUUUUUUAUUAUAUUCAAUUUAUUAUAUUCAAUUUAAUAAGUUCUCCCUGCACAUUUUUUUUACGAGCACAGGAAUUCAGACACCCUAUAUAAUUAAUGGAAAUA